CUUUCCUUUACCACUAAUAUGACAUCUCUGCAGCCAAAAGUAAUUAAACAGAAAGAGGACAUAAAAGAGAGGCUUUGCUCUUUGAAUAUAUUUUGUCUAUCUCAUUCCCAGCUGCUCUGACAUACAGACUGAGAUAAUAUUAAUGGGAAUUGAAUUGUUUCAGACUUAACCACAGCAACUGCGUUUCUAGCCACUACGCUUUUCUGAUAGAAAUUUUGCAGAAGGCUUCUUAUUCAAGAUACAGGUGCAGGUGUGGGUGCCCAGAUGGUAACUAGUAAGAAUAGAAUGAUAAUAACAAUGUGAAGUUGUGUCUCAGCAUGUCCCCCUGCUGUGAGUUUUCCCAGUGUUUGCUUUCUCCAUUCCUGGCCAAGACUUGAAUAUUUUCUUUCUGUUCAUGUCCAGUGAAGUGAAGGACAAUUUUGUAUUAGGCACAAGCAACUCAGUUGUUGGUUCCAGUGCUUUUUUCCCGUUGCGUGCUGUAUGGCCUGUUGCUUUCAUUCUAUUUUCACACAAAACAUUCAUUACCACAUUUGCCCAUCGGUUACACAAGCUGUAGCAUUUUCUUUCGUGCUUUGAGGUUCCAGCUGUUUUGGGGUGAGGUUAAGCAUGUAAAACUCUUUUAUAUUGCAAGCAUUGCAAUGAUUAAUCUUUGUAUAGGACAGCUCAUUUACAGGUUUAUGGUACCAGGCUGUGACAAAGAGAGGUUGCAACUGGCUGUUACCAGCUUCUCCAAGGGAGAAGAAAACAACAUCAAAGAAGAAGGAGAGAUUGUUUUCUUAUUUCUCCAAGCCAGAGGACAGCCACACGCACUGUCUUUGUGAUCACUGCAAUGCAGCAAUCGCUGUUUUUUGAUGCACGUGUAGGCAGACACAACUGUAAGGCUCCAAUCCUGUAGAAAUCACUUUGCUGGUAGAUUUUAUUGUAUCAUGCAACAUUUUUAUAACUAGCUCAUUAUUUUCACUGAUAUUAUCACCUCAAUGGCAGUAAGAAGGAAAAGCAGGCAUUGAUUCCAGUGUACCAUUUUACUUUCCAAAUUAACAAACCCUGAAAAAUAAAAUACAAUGCGUUUCCUGUGUUUAGCUGCCUUUCCUGCUACUCGCUCACCAUACUGAUUAUAGGCAGCUUUGAAUUGAGUGAAAAGCUUGUACCUGGGAUCUUCAUGUUGUUGAAUCAUGUCUUCUAUGUUACAGGAACAACCUGUAGGACAGUUUUCAUCUUUCCUUUGCUGUAUGGUCAUUGGUCACUUAUCAUUUAUCUUGGAAAUGCUUGCUUCUAGUCAAAGACUGGUCAGUUUGGGGAGUGAAGCAAGGUAAACAGGAAGUGGUAUUUAAUUAUUGGAAACAUUAACUAGAGAGCUAAGAAGGUGAACGCUGAGCUGGGAGACAUGGUCCCCAUGCGGUUCAGAUGCGAGGAAGUGACUAUGAGGGUGAAGACUUGAAGAUGAAGUUGCUUCAUCCAAGGAGCAGGUCUCUCCUGCCCCACCUGCACGGAUGCAGGAGGGUGAGGAGCAGAGCUGUCCUUCCCUGUCCUGCUGUAUUGAGCGCCUGCUAGCCAGGUAAUCAGACUCGGCACAAGAAGCAAGAUGGAAAAAGAGGUAUGACUGUCUUACCACGAAGUCGUUAAGGGAGGGAAGCACUGCCAAUGUUGCUGAAGACUAUUUUUUCCGUGUUGGCAAGAGGACAUCGUGUUUCUCACAUCCUUUUUGAUCAAAGAUGAACUAACUGGAGCUGGUUUUGUAAGACUGUAGCCACUUCUACUGCUUUGAAGAAAGUUAAGCACUAUGUGGAACAUAUACAGGAAGUUUAGUGGCCAUGCAAGGUCAGUUAAAAGACAUGGAAUGAAAACUCUCAGUUAAUUUCUUGUCUUUACUCUAGAUGAUGAUGACGCUCAAGAACUCAGCCACUAGAGGGUAAUAUAAGAUAAGGGAAAAUACCCUCAAAUUUGAGCUAUGGCCUUUUUCCACAACUGAGAAAAGGCUCAGAUUUAAGUGACAAUAUUUAUCCAAAUCAGAUAAACGGACUCACCUCUUCUAUUGCAGUUGUGCAUUUCAGUUUUGCCUGGCGUCUAACACUAAAUAUAGAACAAAUUCUAAAGACAUUUUGAAGUACUUUUCUCUCAAAUUGAUACCGAUGCUUUCCUUAGCUGAACUAUAGCAACAAUAAAAAGUGAAACCUCAUGUGAACGAAGUAACUGGUGACCUGGAUUCCAAGAAGGAAGAUCACAGAGUCUUUUGUGAGUUUGUAAGCAUCCUAACUUCAGCAAGGGGAACAUGUAUUUGCUAAGACUGCUUGG